rnacentral:lncRNA from 12 species
GGGGGGGGGGGGGGGGGGGGGGGGGGGGGGGGGGGGGGGGGGGGGGGGGGGGGGGGGGGGGGGAGCCCUGCAGAGGAGCAGUUCUCCCUGGUAUCCCAAGGCACGGGGGGGCUGUGGAUGCGCUGCAACCUUUGCACUGGUGCCUGCAGCAGGAAACGGAGCCGCCUUCCCCUGCGCGAGGCUGGGUUUCCCUGUCCCUGCGUUGCAGGGAUGCUGCAGAGUGUCCCCUCAAGGGCUGGGGACACCCCAGCAGCCCUCUGGGUCCACCAGCUGGGCACCGACAGCAGCUAAAGUAAUAAUAAGGAGUAUGUAUAUAUUAAAAAUCACAGAAUGGUUUGGGUUUGGGAUCAUGAAGGUCCUUCAGUUCAGGGACACCUUCCACUAGACCAGGCUGCUCAGAGCCUCAUCCAGCUUCACCUUGCACACUUCAGGGAUCCAAGGGCAGUCACGGCUUUUCUGGGCAACCUGUGCCAGUCCCUCAUUACCCUCACAGUAAAGAAUUUCUGCCUUAUAUCUAAGCUAAACAUGCUCUCUGUCAGUUUGAAGCCAUUCUCCCCUGUCCUGUUACUCCAGGCGCUUGUAAAUAGUGUUUCUCCAUCUUUUUUUGUAGCUCCUUUCAGGUAUUGGAAGGCUGCAAUUAGGUCACCCUGAAGCUUCUCUUUUCCAGGCUGAACAAUCUCAAUUCUCUCAGCCUUUGGUCAUAGGAGAGGUGCUUCAUCCCUCUGAUCACCCUGGUGGCUUCCCUCUAGUACGUCCAUGUCCCAUACAUUUAUGCAGCCCUGUGAUACCAUUUCAACUCUUCACUCAGAAUACACCUGCACUUCUCUUGUCUCUGGUCAGUGUGGAAGUGAGGCUCGGGAAACUUCCCUUUGGCACACCAAGGCUUAAGGAUGUUGUUUAGGAUUGAACCUCAGCCAAGAGACUCCUCUCAAGGUCAGAUGUGGAACAGCAGAUGCACAGAGUUCACACAGGGAGAUCUUCAGCCUCCACACAGCAGAUGACCAAAAUGUUUGCACACUUGGAGUCAAAUUUCAAUCUAGUCUCAAAAGUAUCCUGCAAGGUAAAGCAUUUAUUCUACCAAAAUUUGACUGAAGAGGACCAAAAUCCUCUGGGUCUGAGUGUUCAGCUAAUGUUACUGCUGGCACCAGGAUCAGGCAGGCAGGGACCUUCCUGGGCCAGAACCAGCUGGACUCCAGAUGCCCACAGACCAACACUUGGAAAUGGCACUUUCCCACCAAUACAAUCCUCACAGACAAAAGGCACAAAAGGAGUGCCAUAGGAUGCCGUGGACACGUGUCCAGCAGAAAGCAUCCUGAGACAAUGGAACUCACUGCACACCUCUGUUCUCUGCUGGAAGCAUCCUGAGACAAUGGAACUCACUGCACACCUCUGUUCUCUGCUGGAAGCAUCCUGAGACAAUGGAACUCACUGCACACCUCUGUUCUCUGCUGGAAGCAUCCUGAGACAAUGGAACUCACUGCACACCUCUGUUCUCUGCUGGAAGCAUCCUGAGACAGUGGA